GAUGAAGAACGUAGCGAAAUGCGAUAAGUAGUGUGAAUUGCAGAAUUCAGUGAAUCAUCGAAUCUUUGAACGCACAUUGCGCCUUCUAGUAUUCUGGGAGGCAUGCCUGUUUGAGCGUCAUUAAACCUCUCUCAAGUAUGAUUACUUGGAUGUGAAGGAAGAGUACCUUAAACUUAAGGAGUGUUCUCCUUUGAAAUUGAUUAGCAGAUGGUAAUGUUAUUAAAUCCCUGAUGUUGUAAGAAAUAACAGUGGUUUUGUAGACUAUUAUCUAGCUUUAAAUUAUAAUUUUUAUUAUGGUUGACCUCAAAUCAGGUAAGGAUACCCGCUGAACUUAAGCAUAUCAAUAAGGGAGGA
rnacentral:misc_RNA from 1 species